AGGCGCCCGCAGCGCCCAGGCAUCACCAAUCCAGCCCCGAGACGCGCCGCUCGCCCCACCCAGGGCGCGGGGAGAGGCCCGACUCGCCGAUCGCAGGAACCCGGGGCAGAACCGCCUGCGCGGAGCGUUCCCGACCUCGGUGCCACCUCCGCGCUGCGAAUCUCUGCUCUGCGCGCGAGGGCACAGGUAUAGACAGUGUCUCUUGACUCCCAGCUUUAAAAGAUGAAGAUACCAGCAUCUCUGACCUUCUGGGUUUGGAUUACUCCUCCUCCUGACCUCACCUAUGAGUGACCCCAGGACUCUGUCCCAGGCUUUUUAUAUUCACUCCCUGGCAGUCGCAUCCAGUGCCGUCUAUACACAGGUGAAUUUCAAGUUCUGUCUCCAGCCCCACCCUCCCUUGGAAUUCACCGCAGGACAACAAUCUGCCCACCGGGCAUCUGAAAUUCAUCACGCCCCAAACAGAUUCUGACUUCACCUUCAGAACCUGUCUCCCUGCAUUGUUUGCCAUCUCGGUAAAUGGCCCCACCUUGCAACCAGCCAUGAUCCUGCAGUUGAUCGGUUAUCACGGAAGGGUAUCACGGAGCUCACUGACAAUUAGGAGAUGCGAGAGCCAGAAGGAAAGUUAGGCUCGAAACACAACAGAGUGUGAUUCGUCUGAUUGUCUAGCAGCUGCCGUUGCGCCUUCUCAUCUAUUUCUAAGUAAUAGAUAUUGAUGCUUCUCUGCUCAGGGCAGGCCUAUUGUACAUACAGUUGCACACAAUACACAGAAUGGCAUUUUUUCAAAGUCCUUUCCAGCUGACUGUUAAAGGCACAAUGUCCGAUGUCAGGGCCCACAAGGGGCUAAGACACACCAUCAUUGUUCCUCACACUGGGAAAAAGAAACACGUUUGCCUUUUCCCUCAUUUCCCUUCCAAAGCAACUGACCAAGUUCUGAAACCACGCUUAGGAGGAAAGAAAACUCAGGUCCUGUAUCCUUUAUGACGAUGGCUGUCAUCUGUGCCUGGUGAGAAAGUGGGGCCAACAUGAAGCAUUCAGAAAACAUCUUUUCACCUAAAACCAGUUGUGGAGUCUUUGACUUCAGAAGCAGCUCUGCUCAAGUUUUCAUGGCCAUCUACUGAGUUGACGGCUUCCUUCUGAGGAUGGUCUCUGUGCGUCAGGGGAAAGGCUCCGCUGUGUUACCCCGACUAGGACUUCCUUCUCCUGGCUGGAAAGCUAACAGGCACAGGGCCAGUCUAAGAGCUUCCCAGGCCCCAGAGGCUUUUACUUUUGGAGUCCCUACUACAUAAAAUAUCAGAAAAAAAAAAAAAAAAAGAAAUGCACCCCUAUCCCACAUCGUAAUAAUGUACAAAUAAAAAACUGACAAUAUGAGUAUGGAAACUAGUUGACGUAUAUGUCUCAUCAAGUGUAGUAGUCCUGAUCAAACGUAGUAGCCCUGAUGUUGCAUUUUUCUCUAUGGUUUGGUGCUGAUACAUGUUUUUCCUCCCUGGCUGUGUGCAUGCCCUUGGGUCAUUGGCGAGCUCUGAGUUCUGAGCCCUGCUGGGUCUGGGGAUGGGGCUUGAUGCAGAUGACGGGUGCUGAAUACUUGGGGGCCAAGAGGAAGCUUGGUCCUAGCCCUCACCUGCCUAGUCCAAAGAGAGCCAACCUCAAAGGACCUUACCUGUCCUUAAAUAAAACUCACCUGCUUGUAAAGAAGUUGCUGAGAAGGGGAUGCCUUUUCUGGCAACAUGCUCCUUCAUUCAUUCAUUCCCUCAUUCAAAAGGUACUUUUUUUUGAAACCCUACUGUAAGUGCCCAGCCCAGUGCUUGGCAUUUGGGAAACAAAGGCAGAUGAGAUGCUCCCUCAGGAGCACAGAGUCCCGCAGUCCCUCUGUCCUGGGGCUGCUCUUGGUCAGCCUUCCAGGACCCACCCUUGCCUCAGAGCCCCUCAGAUAUUCCUGGCUGUGAUGAGCCGGGUGUGUCCUCCAGAAAUUCAUAUAUUGAAAUUCUAACCCCCAGUGCUCAGAAUGUAUUUGGAGAUGGGUCCUUUAAUGAGGUGAUUAAGGUCGAAUGAGGCCAUUGGGAUGGGCCCUAACCCAACAUGAAUGAUGUCCUUGUAAGAAGAGAUUAGGACACAGAUACACACAGAGGGAGACCUUGUGAAGACAGUCGGAGAGGAUGACCGCCUACAAAUCAGGGAGAGAGGCCUCAGAAGAAACCAACCCUGUUAACACCUUGAAUUCGGACUUCUAGCUUUCGGAAC